AGUGAACGCUGGCGGUAGGCCUAACACAUGCAAGUCGAACGGCAGCACAGUAAGAGCUUGCUCUUACGGGUGGCGAGUGGCGGACGGGUGAGGAAUACAUCGGAAUCUACUUUUUCGUGGGGGAUAACGUAGGGAAACUUACGCUAAUACCGCAUACGACCUACGGGUGAAAGCAGGGGAUCUUCGGACCUUGCGCGAUUGAAUGAGCCGAUGUCGGAUUAGCUAGUUGGCGGGGUAAAGGCCCACCAAGGCGACGAUCCGUAGCUGGUCUGAGAGGAUGAUCAGCCACACUGGAACUGAGACACGGUCCUGGGUCCGACGGGAGGCAGCAGUGGGGAAUAGUGGACGAUGGGCGCAAGACUGAUCCAGCCAUGCCGCGUGGGUGAAGAAGGCCUUCGGGUGGUAAAGCCCUUUUGUUGGGAAAGAAAAGCAGCAGGUUAAUACCCCGCUGUUCUGACGGUACCCAAAGAAUAAGCACCGGCUAACUUCGU
rnacentral:rRNA from 1 species